GUUUGAGUCGGGCGCUUUCAAAGAACUGGUCAAGCUCAUCGGUGCCAACCAUCAUACCACAACGGCAUAUCAUCCGACAGCUAAUGGGUCCCCAUCGGAAACCCCUUCAAGCACCUUAUUCAGGUCCAUACAGGGUGCUGCGACGCGAGGAGAAAACCUUUGACAUCGACGUACAAGGCAAAACGCAGCGAAUCAGCAUAGACAGACUGAAACCAGCUUACAUACUCGCUGAGGACCAGACAGACCAGAAUAUCAAAGUUCAGGAGAAGUCUGAUGCCAUCCCUGCCAGUAAAACCAGGAGUGGUAGAGUGGUCAGAUUCCCAAACUACUAUCGCCCGUAGUCACGGUCUCGGCGGGGGAGUAGUGUGGCGAGUGCACAAUGCGUCUAAACGCAGCACAAACAUCACCUGAUCAACCACGUCAUGGAUCAGGUGAUGUUGCAGUGGUCUGAUGUAUGUCGUCACACGUAUGGAUACGCCCCUUCGGCAAUAUGGUCGCAUGCGCAUCUAUUGUCCUCGCAGCGACGUCACACGCUUGACCACACCCCCAGCAAGAUGGCCGCAUGCAUCGCUUUUGUUUUCGCCUAGGAGGAGGUCCCAAAAGUGGCAAGCACGCGUGGUGGUCAUCGUGAGAGGGGAAUGCCUAUAUAAGCGCUGUUGUUGUUGUUUAUUUUUAAUAAAUUAAUUAUUUCAUCUAUUUUUACUGUGCGCUCUAAUGUAAACAUUGUUGACUUGUCACAAUAAAUAAUUCUUAAAGUC